rnacentral:rRNA from 1 species
AUUGAACGCUGGCGGCAGGCCUUACACAUGCAAGUCGGACGAGUGGCGGACGGGUGAGUAAUGCAUCGGAACGUACCCCGUAAUGGGGGAUAACGUUCCGAAAGUUCAGCUAAUACCGCAUAUGAUUCGAUCAGCCGAUGUCUGAUUAGCUGGUUGGCGGGGUAAAGGCCCACCAAGGCGACGAUCCGUAGCUGGUCUGAGAGGAUGAUCCGCCACACGGGAACUGAGACACGGCCCAGACUCCUACGGGAGGCAGCAGUGGGGAAUUUUGGACAAUGGGCGCAAGCCUGAUCCAGCCAUACCGCGUGGGUGAAGAAGGCCUUCGGGUUGUAAAGGCCUUUUGUUAGGGAAGCGGUACCCGAAGAAUAAGCACCGGCUAACUACGUGCCAGCAGCCGCGGUAAUAC